rnacentral:rRNA from 1 species
CGCAUCUGUGCAUGCAGCAUAUCAAUAAGCGGAGGAAAAGAAACUAACAAGGAUUCCCUUAGUAACGGCGAGUGAAGCGGGAAGAGCUCAAAUUUGAAGUCUUCAAGGGUUCUACCUUUACGAAUUGUAGUUUAAAGAAGUGUUUUCUGUUGAGGUUGAGUACAAAGUUCCUUGGAAUAGGGACAUCAUAGAGGGUGAGAAUCCCGUAUUUGACCUUUACUUUCAACUUUGUGAUACACUUUCAAAGAGUCGGAUUGUUUGGGAAUGCAGUCCAAAAUGGGUGGUAAAUUUCAUCUAAAGCUAAAUAUUGGCGAGAGACCGAUAGCGAACAAGUACCGUGAGGGAAAGAUGAAAAGAACUUUGAAAAGAGAGUUAAACAGUACGUGAAAUUGUCAAAAGGGGAGCGUUUGACACCAGUGUUGUUUUACUGAAAAUCAAUUAAAGAACUGUUUAUGCUAAGCUGUUUAGACUUUAUCAGCUAUCUGUUUAGUUUUGAGCUUUUCUUUAAUGCACUUUUCAGUUAACAAGUCAACAUCAAUUUCUUUUGCUGUAAAAAAGCUUGAGGAAGGUGGCUUGAGAUUCGUCUUAAGUGUUUAUAGCCUCUUGCCUAUGCAGUCGGAGAGAUUGAGGUCUGCAGCGUAGAUCCUUCGGGGCUAAAUGCAUUUGUGCUAAGUUAUAGCAUUUUAUAGACAACUUGUUGACUAUGAUUUGUCUUGUAGCUUACUCGCUUAUGUUAUUUUACCUACGCUUAGGAUGUUGAGCGCAUGUCUCUCUCU